rnacentral:rRNA from 1 species
GAAAAGGAGCAAUCCGCUUUGAGAUGGCCUCGCGUCCGAUUAGCUAGUUGGUGAGGUAACGGCCCACCAAGGCGACGAUCGGUAGCCGGACUGAGAGGUUGAACGGCCACAUUGGGACUGAGACACGGCCCAGACUCCUACGGGAGGCAGCAGUGGGGAAUAUUGCACAAUGGGGGAAACCCUGAUGCAGCGACGCCGCGUGGAGGAAGAAGGUCUUCGGAUUGUAAACUCCUGUUGUUGGGGAAGAUAAUGACGGUACCCAACAAGGAAGUGAUGGCUAACUACGUGCCAGCAGCCGCGGUAAAACGUAGGUCACAAGCGUUGUCCGGAAUUACUGGGUGUAAAGGGAGCGCAGGCGGGAAGACAAGUUGGAAGUGAAAUCUAUGGGCUCAACCCAUAAACUGCUUUCAAAACUGUUUUUCUUGAGUAGUGCAGAGGUAGGCGGAAUUCCCGGUGUAGCGGUGGAAUGCGUAGAUAUCGGGAGGAACACCAGUGGCGAAGGCGGCCUACUGGGCACCAACUGACGCUGAGGCUCGAAAGUGUGGGUAGCAAACAGGAUUAGAUACCCUGGUAGUCCACACCGUAAACGAUGAUUACUAGGUGUUGGAGGAUUGACCCCUUCAGUGCC